GACGAACGCUGGCGGCGUGCCUAAUACAUGCAAGUCGAACGCAGUGGCGAACGGGUGAGUAACGCGUAAUCAACCUGCCCUUCAGAGGGGGACAACAGUUGGAAACGACUACUAAUACCGCAUACUGAAGGAGGGGAUUGCGUCUGAUUAGCUGGUUGGUGGGGUAACGGCCCACCAAGGCGAUGAUCAGUAGCCGGUCUGAGAGGGUGAACGGCCACAUUGGGACUGAGACACGGCCCAGACUCCUACGGUGGGCAUCAGUGGGGAAUCUUCCGCAAUGGACGAAAGUCUGACGGAGCAACGCCGCGUGAGUGAUGACGGCCUUCGGGUUGUAAAGCUCUGUUAAUCGGGACGCGGUACCGGAAUAGAAAGCCACGGCUAACUACGUGCCAGCGGCCGCGUAAUAC
rnacentral:rRNA from 1 species